rnacentral:lncRNA from 1 species
UGUUUAUUAAUAUAAUAUAAGUUAUAAUAUAUUAAUAUGAAGUUAUGUUAUUUAAUUAGUUUUAGUCUUAAAUUAAUUAUGAAUUAAUUUAGAGAUUAAAAGGAAGACUAAUUAGAUUAUGGACUAUUGGUUUUAUAUAGUGUGGGCUAAGACUCAUUUGUUAAUGGGCUAGGCUUAUAUGGAUGUCCAUGGAUGAUCCAUGGAGCUUUUAACCCAUGGAUCCUUGGAAUAGGAAAAGACAUGGGUUAUUAGGGUUUCACCCUAACCAUGCAUACUAUAUAAGCAUGCUUAUGGAGCAUGAAAGAGAGCCUAAGAUAGCCUAAGAGAAAGCUAGUGUUCUAGUGUGUGUGUGCAUGUGUGUGGCCGAAAAUACAAGAGUGUGUAUACUCUCUCAAAGUUUUCCAAGAGUUUGUGGUGUUUGUGAUUCCAUUUGAGGCAUUCACACUAUUGGUGCUUGGCCCUCAAACUCCUAAGAACCCAACACAACAAAAGGUAUGUAAUCUCUUCUAACUCUUUUAUGUUGAAAUGUUCCCCAUGCCAUGUUAGAUAGGUUAUAAACCUUGGAAAAUUAUUAUUUUGCAUGUAUUUAGACAAACAUAGAUCCAAGGUUUAUUAGGGUUGCAUGCACACUUAGGAAGUGUUAGAUUGCUCAAAACCCAACAGUGGUAUCAGAGCCUAGGCUUGCUUGUUUGAUACUUGAUGCAAAAUAGUUGAAAAAGUCGAAAAACUUGUUGUCUGACUGAUGAACUCGCCGAGUCCAUGUGUAUCUUCAACUACUCGUCGAGUUGGUUCAUGCACUCGACGCNAGAGCCUAGGCUUGCUUGUUUGAUACUUGAUGCAAAAUAGUGAAAAAAGUCGAAAUCGUUGCUGUCUGCAUGCUAGACUCGCCGAGUCCAUUGGGGGGACUCGCCGAGUCCAAGGCAAACUUCAACCUACUCGACGAGUCCGUUCGUGCACUCGGCGAGUAGGAUCGAAAGAAUGCAGAAUCUCGACUUUUGCUGCUGGAAAUGGACUGGAAACAUUACCCUAAAUUGUUUUGGUGUUGUAAAACUUAUUUUAGUUGGUGUAAUGGUUGUUCUAAUCCAUUUACAAUAGCAUAUAUCAAAAAUCCAUGAUUUUAUGUGUUCAUAUAAUUCUUGAAUUUUUGAUGAUCAUGUUCAUGUUCUUAUGAAUUUAGAAAAUGAUAGGAAUUAUUUGCUGAAUUGUUUAGAAUUAAUUCUUAAUCAUUUAUGUGUUUUAAUGGAGUCCAUAAUUUGUCCUCAAGUUAUGGAUUACCAAAGGUCACUUUCAUUUAACACACACUUAAAACACAUAAGUUACAUGAAAAUGAAGAGUCUUCAUUUUUAUGAACCUUUAAUUCAUAAGUUAUGAAAUGAAGAGUUUUGCAAAGUUACAAAACUUGUCCUCAAGUUUUGGAAUUUGUAAAGUUUCACACACUUUAAUAAACUUUAAUUCCAAACCUUAGAGUUUUAAUAGUUAAAAUUCAACCCUUAUACUAUUUAUAACAUUAAUGGUUAAUUAUUAUAUAUAUGUAUAAGAAUAAGUCGUUUUACCGUUAGUAGGCCUCAUUCACGAAGCCGGUCUAUAAGGUGGGUAUAAGGUUGUUGCCUAUAAAAUGGCGACUUAAUGGGUGUAUACUCUCACCCACCGCUUGCUUGAUCGGUGGAGGGUCGUUAGCCGAACGGGUAGAACAACGACUUUAAAUCCUCAUUAAAAGUAUAAUGAAUAUUAUAAAAUAACUAAACUCUUUUAAUUCCCAAUCUUAGUUAUUUUAGGAAAAUGUGAACAUGGUGCUAAUCCAUGGAAUUCACACUUUGUACCUUACCAAGUCGUUAGUGGAGCGUGUGUGGUUAACCGGCACACUAAUUAGACUAGUAAGGAUCACGAAGGGUAACUUAAUGUUGUCAUAGAUCAAUGGAGCGUGUGUGGUUAACCGGCACAUUGAUUAGGUGAUAAUAUUAGGAGUACCAAGUGAGUUAGCAUGGUUAUUCACACCUUGUUUUGUGAUCCUCGGCAUCCCAGUCACAAAACUUGAAGGGCACAAUCGAGAUUGAAACAUGCCAUUGAAAAGUUCAAUGAAUCUCAAAAGAAUCUAGGAAUUUCAAAUCCAAUUAAACCUAAUUAAUCAUUUCGUUUUCAUGGUGGAAAUUGGUGAAUCGUCAUUCGCCUACCUUUCAAAUAUAUUAUUACUUAGAUUACGGCAUCCCUCUUCUAAGUGUAAUAUAUUGUGAUUGGAUCCUAGCCUUAAUAUUACAUUUGGGUGUCUUAUUAAGGAUCCUAAAUAUCUAAUCUAAACUUACUUUCUUCUUUCAGAUGUCUUCCAACACUAAUGCUUCAGGCUCUAACCCAACUGGUUCUUUCUCUCUCAUGAAUCUUUGUGGGAGGGUCAUCUUUGAUGGUUCCAACUUCAUGGAUUGGAUUAGGAACAUCAGGAUGGUUACUCGUUACGAGGACAAGGAAUAUGUCCUCGAUAAGGAGUUAAAAGAACUUGAUGAGUCUACUGCUACUCCUGAGGAGAUCGCUGAAUUCAGGACUCAUGAGAGAGAUGCUACUAAGGUGGCAUGUAUCAUGAUGGCCACGAUGACAGCCGAGCUCCAAAAGUCAUAUGAAGAUUUCUACCCUUUUGAGAUGCACCAAGACCUGAUGGAAAGGUACCAUCAGAGUGCUCGUCAGGAGCGGUAUGAAAUAAUCUCCUCCAUAAUAACUACCCGCAUGAAGGACGGUGAUUCCGUCAUGGCUCACAUGCAAAAGAUGCAAAGGUAUGUGGACCGUUUGCUGAAGCUAAAUGUGAACAUCCCUGAGGAGUUGGCAAUUGACAUCAUUUUGUACUCCUUACCUUCUUGUUAUAACCAAUUUCGUAUGACAUAUCAUAUGCACAAAGAGGAAGUUACCCUCAGCAAGCUUCAAGGACUCUUGAAAACCGUUGAAUCCGGUCUUAAGGGCAAGGCGGUUGUUACCUCUCCUACUUCUACUCCAACAUCUACCCCUGUUUUGGCUAUCGGGCAAGGCAAAGGGAAAAAGAGGAAGCACCCUUCGAAGGGUACCAAGGGAAAGUCUCUUGAAGGCUCCUCAUCGAAGACCAAGAGCGGUUCUGUCACUCCUUCUGCCAUUCCCAAGGAUGCUGAAUGCUUUUAUUGCCAUGAAAAGGCACACUGGAAGCGAAACUGCCCUAAGUACUUGCAGGAUCUAAAGGAUGGGAAAGUGAAACCCACCUAUGCAGGUAUUUACACUAUAUUGUCUAAUUACUCAACAUAUUCUAACUCUUGGGUGCUUGAUACAGGAUGUGGUAUUCACAUAUGUUCUGAUUUGCAGGGCCUAAGAAGAAGUGAGGAUGUGGAGCACGGGAAGAUAAACUUGAUCAUGGGGAAUAGGAAGGCUUCACCUGUUUCCAAGAUUGGAGUUUAUACUUUGUUGCUUAAUAAUGGGUUAAAAUUAGAUUUGAAUAAAUGUGUGUACUCGUCUGAUAUGGUGAUGAAUAUUAUUUCUUUUCAUGCUUUGUACAAACAAGGUUUUACCUUUUCGUUUGAUAAUGAAUGUGGUGGUAUUAAUGCUUUCUAUAAUAAUGUGUUUUGUUUUAAAGCGUUACAUUGUGAUGGCGUGUAUGAAACUGUGUCGAUUGUAGACAACUUAGGAAAUAAUGUGUUGUAUAUUGAUUCUUCUACUAGCCUAGAUAAAGCAUCAUUGUGGCAUUGUCGUCUUGGACAUGUAAACAAGAAACGCAUAGACCAACUCCAAAAGAGUGGAGUCUUGGAAUCAUUUGACCUCAAAUCAGAUGAUAGUUGUGAAUCUUGUCUACUUGGAAAAAUGACAAAAUCACCCUUCACUGGAACUUGUGAGAGGGGUGAAGGUUUGUUGGACCUAAUACAUACUGAUGUAUGUGGGCCAUUCAAAACCACCACAAGGGACGCUAAUCGGUAUUAUGUGACUUUUAUUGAUGAUUAUAGUAGAUAUGGGUAUGUCUACUUGAUCAAACACAAGUCCGAAACCUUUGAAAGGUUUAAGGAAUUCAAACAGGAAGUAGAAAAUCAAUUGGGCAGGAACAUUAAGAUGCUUCGAUCCGAUCGAGGUGGUGAGUAUCUUAGUACCGAGUUCCUUGACUAUCUUAAGGAGUGUGGGAUUGUCUCACAAUUGACUCCUCCCAGGACACCACAGCUGAAUGGUGUAGCUGAGAGGCGUAAUCGUACCUUGUUGGACAUGGUUCGCUCUAUGAUGAGUCGAGUUUCGUUACCAAUCUCUUUUUGGGGGUAUGCCUUAGAGACUGCCGCCCAUAUCCUUAAUCUAGUCCCUACAAAGAAGGUUACCAAAACACCUCAUGAGAUGUGGACUGGGAAGGUUCCCAAUUUGGACCACAUCAAAAUUUGGGGUUGCGAAGCCUUCGUGAGGCGUGAAACUCAUGAUAAGCUUGAACCCCGAAGUGAAAGGUGUAUUUUCAUCGGCUACCCACAGAAAUCCUUCGGUUACCUUUUCUACAGACCCAGUGAGAAUGUGGUCUUUGUAGCACGAAGAGGGAUCUUUCGCGAGAAAGAAUUUAUAAGCCAAGGAGACAGUGGGAGGCAGAUUGAUCUUGAAGAAAUUCAAGAAUCAAUUGGUGAAGGAACCUCAGACACUAGCAAUCAACCUGAGGAAGAAACUCCUGUUGAUCCAGCUGACGAGUCUGUACCUCCGAGACGUUCCACACGGGUUAGGAACACACCUUCGUUUUAUUAUGGUUUUCAUAUUACUACGGAAGGUGAUACGUUUAUUAGUGAUAGUACACUAGUAAAUUUGGAUGAACCUAGCAGUGUUAAGGAAGCCAUGGCAGGCCCGGAGUCUGCUAAAUGGAAGGAGGCUAUGGACAGCGAGAUACAGUCCAUGUAUGACAAUCAAGUUUGGAACUUGGUUGACAAUGUACCAGGCCGUAAAACAGUCGGGUGCAAAUGGAUCUUCAAAAAGAAGACCGACAUGGAAGGAAAAGUGCAUACUUAUAAGGCUCGACUGGUUGCGAAGGGUUUUACUCAAACUCAAGGUAUUGAUUAUGAUGAAACCUUCUCGCCGGUGGCCAAGAUUAAGUCUAUUAGGGUUAUGUUAGCCAUUGCAGCAUUUCAUGAUUAUGAAAUAUGGCAAAUGGAUGUCAAAACCGCUUUCCUUAAUGGAAAGUUGGCUGAGGAUGUGUACAUGAAUCAGCCAGAGGGUUUUGUCAAUGCAGAGUACCCUAAUAGAGUAUGCAAGCUUAAGAAAUCCAUUUAUGGAUUAAAACAAGCAUCUCGUAGCUGGAAUCUUUGUUUUGAUGAGAAGGUAAAAGAGUUUGGCUUCUUGAGAAGCGAAGAUGAGUCUUGCGUGUAUGUCAGAGCUAGUGGGAGUAUAGUUAGCUUCUUGGUACUGUAUGUGGAUGACAUACUACUCAUAGGAAAUGACAUCCCAACCUUGCAGGAGGUUAAGUCCUGGCUUGGGAAGUGCUUUGCUAUGAAGGACCUAGGGGAGGCUACCUAUAUCCUAGGGAUAAGGAUAUUAAGAGAAAGGAGUAGAAGACUAAUUGGACUUAGUCAGAGUAUCUACUUGGAUAAGGUGUUGAAAAGGUUCAACAUGGAGAAUUCCAAGAAAGGAGAUUUACCGAUCCAAAGCAAUACCAAACUGAGUAAGACUCAGAGUCCGAGUACAGAGGCUGAGAUAGCUGAGAUGAGCCAAUUACCAUAUGCUUCCGCAGUUGGCUCGAUCAUGUAUGCUAUGACUUGUACCCGUCCUGAUGUGGCAUUUGCUUUGAGCAUGGUCAGCAGGUAUCAGGGGAACCCUGGCAAGGCUCAUUGGACCGCGGUAAAGAACAUUCUCAAGUACCUGCGGAGGACUAAGGAUUGGGUCCUUACCCUUGGUGGCAGUGAUGACUUGAGAAUAUUAGGGUAUAGUGAUGCUGGUUUUCAGACUGAUAGGGAUAAUUUCCGCUCUCAGUCGGGCUGGAUCUUUACCUUAAAUGGAGGGGCAAUUUCUUGGAAGAGUUCCAAGCAGGAGACGGUGGCUGAUUCGACUUGUGAAUCAGAGUAUAUAGCAGCGAGUGAAGCAGCGAAGGAGGCGAUAUGGCUAAAGAACUUCAUCGGAGACCUUGGAGUUGUACCAGCUAUUAAGGAACCUAUAGAGAUUUUCUGUGACAACAAUGCUGCGGUUAUCUUAGCCAAGGAACCAAGAGAUCAUGGCAGAUCCCGACACAUUGACAGAAAAUAUCACUUCAUAAGGCACAAGAUUGAAGAAGGACUCCUUGUGACAAGGAGGAUAUCGUCAGAUGAGAAUCCUGCAGAUCCCCUUACGAAGGGACUGACGAGGGUUAAGCAUUUUCAGCAUGCGAGACGCAUCGGGCUGAGGGACGAUAUUAGUUUUACAGAUUAGAUAGUUUUCCUGAAACUUGUAAAAUGUAAUCGACGUUUGAUGAUGAAUAAAAUUUGUGAUUUAUUUAUGAGUAAAGUGUUACUAUCAUUGUCAAUUAUUUACUAUUGUUUCAGUUUUGCAUGUUUUGACUUCCAGAAUAAUUAAUUUGUUCAAACCUCCACAAUCGAUCAUACGUCGGAAGUAGGUAUGAAUCAAGAUUGUCAUGAAUUGGGUUUGUAGAUGCCUUAAAGGUGUUUAGGCAUGGCAAUGGUUGCUGCAACAUUCAUGAGUACUCAUAAGUUAUGAGUAUUGGUAUAAACCCACGCUCACUUGUAUCACUUCAUGGAAUUUAUCUCGAGUGAUCGUGAGACGAUAACAUCAUAUAAAUCUUUAAACCUAGAGAUAUGAGUUGUUACCUAUGAGUUGGUUGUGCAUUGAUUGCACGUAAACGCAUCAGUAACUUGAUGUUAUAAAACGUGCCUUUGUGUACAAUUCAAUAAGUAGUAGAACAAGCAUAUCAGUCGAAGUUUAUCUGUUCCUUCUAGAAAUAGAAGCGAUAUCCGGGCCCCUCGAUGAUUUUGUGUUGACCCAUAUACCAGGCCUGGUCAGAACUAAACCGAUGUGUUCAGUGAAGUUCUUCGUCAAACAAAUCGGAUAAUCGAGAAACAACUGCUAGACAAUAAGCAAGACAUAGUUCCAUGUGUUUGUCCGGCUGAUAUCAUGAGAACAGAGGAUUAUGUGAUCACUUAUCUAAAAUGGCGCUUCAUAGUUCGACAGAGUCUUCAUUGUUCGAGGGAGUUUUCGAGAGCUACGAUUGUUGGUUGGUUCCUGAAGUUAUAGGCAAAUAUAGUUAUUAGACUUAUCCAAGUGGGAGUCUGUUGGAUAAGGUGUCUAAGUCCAUAACUUAUUUGGUAUAUACUUGACCCGACCGGCAUGGUCCAUUUGGGUUGCAUCUCAUCCAAACUUUUAUGGAUAAUUUUAUGAGAGUUAUACACAUAUGUUUAUUAAUAUAUUAUAAGUUAUAAUAUAUUAAUAUGAAGUUAUGUUAUUUAAUUAGUCUUAGUCUUAAAUUAAUUAUGAAUUAAUUUAGAGAUUAAAAGGAAGACUAAUUAGAUUAUGGGCUAUUGGUUUUAUAUAGUGUGGGCUAACACUCAUUUGUUAAUGGGCUAGGCUUAUAUGGAAGUCCAUGGAUGAUCCAUGGAGCUUUUAACCCAUGGAUCCUUGGAAAGGAA